UACGUAGGGGGCAAGCGUUGCUCGGAUUGACUGGGCGUAAAGGGCGCGUAGGCGGUUUGCACAGUCAGACGUGAAAUUCCUGGGCUCAACCUGGGGGCUGCGUUUGAUACGUGUAGACUUGAGUGCGGAAGAGGGUCGUGGAAUUCCCAGUGUAGAGGUGAAAUUCGUAGAUAUUGGGAAGAACACCGGUGGCGAAGGCGGCGACCUGGUCCGAUACUGACGCUGAGGCGCGAAAGCGUGGGGAGCAAACAGG
rnacentral:rRNA from 1 species